AGGGGAAAGGUUCCAUGUG
rnacentral:snRNA from 1 species